UACGUAGGGGGCAAGCGUUGUCCGGAUUUAUUGGGCGUAAAGAGCGUGUAGGCGGCCAGGUAGGUCCGUUGUGAAAACUCGAGGCUCAACCUCGAGACGCCGAUGGAAACCAUCUGGCUAGAGUCCGGAAGAGGAGUGUGGAAUUCCCGGUGUAGCGGUGAAAUGCGCAGAGAUCGGGAGGAACACCCGUAGCGAAGGCGGCACUCUGGGCCGGUACUGACGCUGAGGAGCGAAAGCGUGGGGAGCAACAGGAUUAAGAUACCCGUGGACGUC
rnacentral:rRNA from 1 species